GAUGAACGCUAGCGGCAGGCUUAAUACAUGCAAGUCGAGGGGCAGCACGUUUCGCAGCAAUGCGGGAUGGUGGCGACCGGCAAACGGGUGAGGAUCGCGUACACAAUCUUCCCAGAGCAGGGGGAUAACCCGGGGAAACCCGGACUAAUACCCCGUAGUUUACUUUGAAGGCAUCUUUGAGGUACUAAAACUCCGGUGGCUUUGGAUGAGUGUGCGUCCUAUUAGGUAGUUGGCAGGGUAACGGCCUACCAAGCCUUCGAUGGGUAACUGGUGUGAGAGCACGACCAGUCACACGGGAACUGAGACACAGGCCCGACUCCUACGGGAGGCAGCAGUAAGGAAUAUAGGUGGAUGGACGCAAGUCUGAACCAGCCAUGCCGCGUGAAGGAUGAAGGUCCUCUGGAUUGUAAACUUCUUGUAUAGGAGGCGAAAAAAGGGUUUUUUAACUCACUUGACGGUACCUUAUGAAUAAGCACCGGCUAACUCCGUG
rnacentral:rRNA from 1 species